rnacentral:rRNA from 1 species
GGGAAGGAGUGGCAGCCCCAGCCAGAAGAGGGUGAGUGUGUGCUCUUGGCCACCCAUGUUGAUCGUGGAUUUUCCUUGCCGCCGAGUGUUUUCUUCCGUGGCUUCUUGAAUUUCUUUGGAGCGCAGCUCCACCACUUUACCCCAAACUCUAUUGCCUAUCUUGCUGCGUUCGUGUCCAUGUGUGAGGGUUUCCUGGGCUGUCGACCGCACUGGGGUUUGUUCAAGCAUAUAUUCACGUGUCGCUCUCAGACCGUGAAGAAGGCGAGCCCAGGUGAUGAGAGAACCCGAGUCGUCCAAAUGUGUGGGGGUCUGGGGAUCCAGGUGAGGAAUAAGAGCACCUUCCCACCCAUGACCUUUCCCGAGUCAGUCAGAGGCUGGCAGUCGACCUGGUUCUACUGCCAAGACCAGUCGACGCCGGGGCAGUCGAGUGGACUCCCUCAGUUUACCAUGGACCGAGUGAACAAG